AGGGUCUUUAAAUGCGAGGAUGAAUCGCCCAGCUGUUUCUUCUUGUGGGCCAGCCUUGAUGGGACCUCGAAGUAAAGGGACUGGUUGGUCAAAAGGAAUCAGAGUCUUUGAUGCAGAGUACUCCUCGAGGUCGAUUGAUGGCAGUUCUAGUUGUGGUCGUUCUGGUGCUGUCAUGAUGCAGAGUACUCCUUGAGGUCAAUUGAUGGCACUUCUGGUUGCGGUCGUUCUGGUGCUGUCAUAUAGGCAGUUUUGUUUGUUCACAAUUUUGGGUCCUGAAGAGAAGAAACCAAUAUCAGGAUUAUCA
rnacentral:lncRNA from 1 species